rnacentral:lncRNA from 1 species
CUCCGACAACUUUCAUUUAGGAGUAAUUCGCUACAAGUCGAAACAUGAUUUGCUCGGCUCAAAACAAUUGAAUUGGAAAAAAAAUAAGGAUCGAGCAGUAGAUCAGACGGAUCCAACCCGAGAAAGGAAACAGCAUCCUUCGAUAUGAUCGAGGUCCUGAUGUGAUAUAAAUAGCACACAAACUUAAACCCGUUUUUUGAUAGUUGUAGUAUAUGUAAGUAGGAAUCGUUCUAUCCGGGGAUUAUGAUGGCUGCUAAUCUACAAAAAUUAAACUCUAAAUCACUAAGCUAGACUAAAAAACAGAAAACUAAACUUAAACUACUCAAAAUAAGCUAAAUUGACUCAAAACACACAAACUAAGUUAAAUUGACUCGAAACAAGAACUAAAGGGAAAUUUGGAUGAAAAUUAAAUUAAAAAGACUCAGAAUACUAAACAGGUGGUUGUUUUGACGAAUUCAAGAUUUAAACAAACAAAUUUGCAUAAACAAACUAAAGGGUACGAAAUUAGGUGAAUUAAAGGGAUGGAAGGCUAGUUAAAGGGUCCUUCUCCACACAUGAAACAUAUGCAUACAAAUCGAUUUCCAAUUAUUCUUCCUAUAAACCAUGAAUGACAAUGCCCCAAGUUAACCGUGAACUGCAAAAAGUAACAAUCAGAUUUUCCUAAAUUCAUUAAAUUGGACUCAGCGGCGCAACCAAAUUAUUCUUAUCAAGUUCCCUACAUGAACUGCAUAAUAUAGAUACUUAUCAAAGAUCAUUGAGUUCUGUGAAAAUCAUAAGCAUUAGACUUCGGCUUGCCUCGUUCUUUUGUUAAGUUAAAGUUGUUGGAUCUACUUUAUGCCAGCCGCGAAGUCCGUCAGUCGAGCCUUAUUCACCUCAAAAUCCUUUUCAAGUUCUGAAGCAACAACCGAUCUUUGCUGUUGAAGCUCAGCAAUUUGACGUUGAAGCUCGGCAAUUUGAUGAUCAA